GUCUCAGUAGCUUAAUGUCAAAGCGCCGGUCUUGUAAUCCGGAAACGGAGGUUAAAAUCCUCCCCGAGGCC
rnacentral:tRNA from 1 species